rnacentral:rRNA from 1 species
GGAGCUUGCUCCGGYGGAUUAGUGGCGAACGGGUGAGUAACACGUGAGAAAUCUGCCCCUGACUCUGGGAUAACUGCGGGAAACUGUAGCUAAUACCGGAUACUUUCCCUGGUGGGCAUCCACUGGGGAAGAAAGAAUUUCGGUCAGGGAGGAUCUCGCGGCCUAUCAGCUAGUUGGUGAGGUAACGGCUCACCAAGGCGACGACGGGUAACCGGCCUGAGAGGGUGACCGGCCACACUGGGACUGAGACACGGCCCAGACUCCUACGGGAGGCAGCAGUGGGGAAUAUUGCACAAUGGGCGCAAGCCUGAUGCAGCAACGCCGCGUGAGGGAUGAAGGCCUUCGGGUUGUAAACCUCUUUUAGCAGGGAAGAAGCGAAAGUGACGGUACCUGCAGAAAAAGCACCGGCUAACUACGUGCCAGCAGCCGCGGUAAUACGUAGGGUGCAAGCGUUGUCCGGAAUUAUUGGGCGUAAAGAGCUCGUAGGCGGUUUGUCACGUCUGCUGUGAAAAUCCAAGGCUCAACCUUGGACUUGCAGUGGGUACGGGCAGGCUAGAGUGCGGUAGGGGAGAUGGGAAUUCCUGGUGUAGCGGUGGAAUGCGCAGAUAUCAGGAGGAACACCAAUGGCGAAGGCACAUCUCUGGGCCGUAACUGACGCUGAGGAGCGAAAGCGUGGGGAGCGAACAGGAUUAGAUACCCUGGUAGUCCACGCCGUAAACGGUGGGUGCUAGCUGUGGGCCACAUUCCACGUGGUCCGUGACGAAGUUAACACAUUAAGCACCCCGCC